rnacentral:rRNA from 1 species
UUGGCGGACGGGUGAGUAACGCGUGGAAAACCUGCCGUAUACUGGGGGAUAACACUUAGAAAUAGGUGCUAAUACCGCAUAAGCGCACAGCUUCGCAUGAAGCGGUGUGAAAAACUCCGGUGGUAUACGAUGGUUCCGCGUCUGAUUAGCUAGUUGGUGGGGUAAUGGCCUACCAAGGCAACGAUCAGUAGCCGGCCUGAGAGGGUGAACGGCCACAUUGGGACUGAGACACGGCCCAAACUCCUACGGGAGGCAGCAG